rnacentral:lncRNA from 1 species
AUGCACAGUUCCACCCGCACUACCCACAGGGAGCUGGCGCAAGUGUCAGCAGGGCUGCAGCGGAGAAAGCCUGGGUCAGAGGAAGCGAGUGGAGACAGCGAGAGAGCAUGGCCUUGCUGGCCCAGUGCCUAUCCCCGGGAUGGCAUUCAAGUCACCUUUGAUUGGGUCCUUUUUUGCAUCACUGAACCCCACCCAGAUCACAUGGGCUCCUCCUACCCUGUCCCCCACUUCACUGCACCUUCCAGCCCCAGCCGCCCUGCUGCUCCUUGGAACACAUUAGCUGGUUCUCAGACCACUGUCUGUCCUUGGGGUCCCCACUUCCCCAUGACUCCACACCAUGUGGCUCAAAGGGACACACUCCUGCCCAGCCCACCCCUCUGCACAGCUGCCCUGCCUCCUCCUCGGCACCCUCAUCGGCUGCAAGGAUCUGGCCUCGUGCUCACCGUGCUCCCCGGACACGAGCCCUGUGAGAGAGCCAUCUUAGUGGCCGACAGGCGUGUUUGUCGAGUCCCCGCACUGAGGAAGGCACCAGGGGAAGGGGAAGGCUCUUACCACCUUGACAAAGGCAUCCUCGAGCUGGGCCAGCGCGGCCCUGGCCUGGAACUGGCCAUGCUGCAGGUGGCUCAGGGCGUGCUCGAAAGCCCGCUGUCGGAAGCCGGGGGCCAAGUCACCCAGACGCACAAAGUAGCUUCCUUGGUCGGCCGUGAGCACUCUUGGCCUAGGUUGGGAGACAGCCAGCCGAGCUGGAAGGGAAGACAGUGGGGGUCAUUCAACCCAAGAGGCCCCUUGGGCAUCAGGGGUGUGGGUUGUACAAAUGACCUGCCCCUGCUGGGAACUGGGACCAGCCUGUCCUAUUCUCACCUUGUUCCUCAGCACUCAUGGGCUGGAAGAUCUCCCCCAGCUCCUCCAACUCAUUCCGGAGUGUCACGAAGCUCUGGGCCCCUUCGUGGCCAUGUGUGGUGGCCCCGUGUCCCACAUCCUCCUUGCCCAGUACGGCCUCUUGUGUGA